rnacentral:rRNA from 1 species
UACGUAGGGGGCAAGCGUUGUCCGGAUUUACUGGGCGUAAAGCGCGCGUAGGCGGAACUUCAAGUCCGGUCUGAAAGCCCCCGGCUCAACCGGGGAGGGUGGCUGGAAACUGGGGUUCUUGAGGGCGAGAGAGGAGGGUGGAAUUCCUGGUGUAGCGGUGAAAUGCGCAGAUAUCAGGAAGAACACCCGUGGCGAAGGCGGUUCUCUGGGACGGUACUGACGCUGAGACGCGAAAGCGUGGGGAGCGAACAGA